CAUUUCUAUUUAAAGUCUUACGACGCUUCGAGAGAGGCCUGCGACCCAUCAGCUUGUUGGUAAGGUAAAGGCUUACCAAGGCUACGACGGGUAACUGGUGUGAGAGCACGACCAGUCACAGUGGGACUGAGACACGGCCCACACUCCUACGGGAGGCAGCAGUAGGGAAUUUUCCGCAAUGGGCGAAAGCCUGACGGAGCAACACCGCGUGAGGGAUGAAGGUUUUCGGAUCGUAAACCUCUUUUCUGAGGGAACAAUAUGAGUGUACCUUAGGAAUAAGCCCCGGCUAACUACGUGCCAGCAGCCGCGGUAAUACGUAGGGGGCAAGCGUUAUCCGAAAUCACUGGGCGUAAAGCGUCCGCAGGUGGAAAGGUAAGUCAAAUAUUAAAUUCCGGCGCUCAACAUCGGAGCUGUAUUUGAAACUAUUUUUCUAGAGGAUGGGAGAGGCAAGUGGAAUUCCCGGUGUAGGGGUAAAAUCCGUAGAUAUCGGGAGGAACACCAAAAGCGAAGGCAGCUUGCUGGAACAUUCCUGACACUCAUGGACGAAAGCGUGGGGAGCGAAAAGGAUUAGAUACCCUUGUAGUCCACGCCCUAAACGAUGAGUACUCGGUGUAGGAAGAAGUCGUUUCUUUCUGUGCCUGAGCUAACGCGUUAAGUACUCCGCCUGAGUAGUACGGCCGCAAGGCUAAAACUCAAAGGAAUAGACGGGGACCCACACAAGCGGUGGAGCACGUGGUUUAAUUCGAUAAUAAGCGAAAAACCUUACCAGGUCUUGACAUGUCGCGAACCCCUAGGAAACUAGGGGGUGCCUUUUAGGAGCGCGAGCACAGGUGCUGCAUGGUUGUCGUCAGCUCGAGCCGUGAGGUGUACGGUUAAGUCCGCGAUCGAGCGCAACCCUCGCUCUUAGUUAUAUAUUUCUAAGAGGACUGCCUUGCCAUAAGCAGGAGGAAGGUAAGGAUGACGUCAAAUCAGCAUGGCCCUUAUGGCCUGGGCGACACACAUGCUACAAUGGUCAGUACAAAGAGAAGCAAAGGAGUGAUCUGGAGCGAAUCUCUAAAGCUGGUCUCAGUUCGGAUUGAAGGCUGCAACUCGCCUUCAUGAAGUUGGAAUCGCUAGUAACCGUGAAUCAGCCAUGUCACGGUGAAUAUGUUCCUGGGUCUUGUACUCACCGCCCGUCAAGUCAUGAAAGCCAGAGGCGCCCGAAGUUCCCGCAAGGGACCCACGGUGAAGCUGGUGAUUGGGACUAAGUCGGAACAAGGUAUCCGUAGGGGA
rnacentral:rRNA from 1 species